rnacentral:rRNA from 1 species
GACGAACGCUGGCGGCGUGCUUAACACAUGCAAGUCGAACGGAAAGGCCCUGCUUUUGUGGGGUGCUCGAUUGGCGAACGGGGGAGUAACACGUGAGUAACCUGCCCUUGACUUUGUGAUAUCUUCAGGAAACUGGGGCUCAUACCGGGUAGAAGCUCCUGCUGCAUGGUGGUGGAUGGAGAGUUUCGGCGGUGUGGGAUGGACUCGCGGCUUAUCAGCUUCUUGGUCAGGUAGUUGCUUACCAAGGCUUCGACGGAUAGCCUGCCUGAGAGGUGGAACGGGCACAUGGGGCCUGAGAUACGCACCAGAAGGGUACGUGAGGCAGCAGUGGGGAAUAUGGCACAGUGGGCGGAAGUCAGAUGCGGCGACCCCGGGUGCGUGAUGACGGCUUUCGGGGUGUAAACAGCUGUCGCAUGUGACGAAGAGUGCGUGACGGUAAUUAGUAAGGAAGCAACGGCUAACUACGUG